CGUCACCACCUUCUAGUUUCCUUUCAAUGUGCAGGAAUCCAUGCACUGGGCUUCUAGUUAUCAUAUAACUUGGGAGGUUUCUUCACUCUUAUUUCUGUUGAUACGUCAUUGUAGUUUGGCAACUGAGACAGCCAAAAGCUUCAGGUUCUCCAGGGAUCAUGGAGAGGAGUUGUUACCUUUGCUUGAAAAGAAAUGGACUAACAGGCACGCCUUCCCUUCCUGGCCAGCUCUUGUUCCCGGAUACCCACCUGCGACACGAUGGCAAAGCAGAAGCCACUUACUAGCUAUGUGUUUUGGGGAAAGUUACUUAACCUCUGCACCUCAGUUUCCUCAUCUGUAGCCCAGGGGAGGGAACCCUGAGCCAAGAGCACCCAGCUGAGCCACACAGAAAUGGUGAGAUGUUGUUGUAUUAAGCCACUAAGUUUUGGGGUACUUUGUUACAUAACAACAGCUGUAUCACUUCUUAGAAAGAUGAAAUAAUAACAUCCAGUUCCUCCUCAGUAUUUUUAAUGGUUUUCUAAUUACUAUGUAAUCAAGCCUUUCCAGGUGUCAGACUUUUCGCCAGGUCAGCACCAAUGGUCAGGGGGCUGCCUCUCCGUCCGUCAGUGUGGGUAGCCCUUGAGGACAAUGUGCCAUUUCUUCUGGGUCUUCCACUCACCCACCUGGUGUGGGAUCCAGAAACCCGAGCUGUGGUGGAGUGACAGCUGCUCCUGGAGAGGCCGGCUCCAGAUUUCCUCUCUGCUCUAAUGAUAACCACCUCUCCAGGGAUCAGUGCCCUGUGUUCUCAUCAAGCACUAAAACAGAAAGCAAACUUGAACAAAUCCAGUCAUUCCUGAAUGUAUCAUCAUUAGGACCUGUAAGUAAAAUAACCAUUUUGAUUUCUUUUGAGCUCUGUUUUGUACUGUUUUUGUAUUUUCAUGAUUUAAAAGAAACUUUUAACUU